GGGAGGGGAACGGCCGGGAGCGGAGCCCGGGAAUGGGAGGGGAACCGGAGGGGCCCGCCGGGAGCGGAGCGCAGCGCUGCGGCAGAGAACGGGACCCCGUGCAGCUCGGAACGGCCCGAGCGGGCAGGGCUCGGCUUUGGAGCUGCUGGUGCUCCAGGGCUGCAGCCCCUCUGCUCUGCAGCCAGGCUGGGAGAGCCGGGCGUGCCCGCCUGCAGAGGAGAAGGCUCCAGGGAGAGCUCAGAGCCCCUGCCAGGGCCUGAGGGCGGCUCAUGAAAAGAUGGAGAGUGACUUUUUAUACAGGCAGAUAGCGAUAGGACAAGGCAGAAUAGUUUUACACGGAAAGAAGUGAGGAAGAAGUUCCUCCCUGGGACAGUGCUGGCACAGGCUGCCCAGGGAAGCUGUGGCUGCCCCAUCCCUGCAAGUGCCCAAGGCCAGGUUGUCCCACCUGGGACAGUGAAGGGUGUCCCUGCCCAUGGCAGGGUGGAAUGAGAUGGGCUUUUAGAUCUUUUUCAACCCAAAUCAUUCCAUGAUUCCAAUAUUAUAAUCCCCCCAAAGGCAAAGUAUCUGCACACAGAGGGUUCAGAGGCCAUUCUUGGCUAGAGCUGAAACCACAGGGCAGUUAAUACAGAGUAAAUUAGUAUUUUGAUUUAAUAUUCUGCUGAUGGUUCUCAAGGCUGCCUGUUUAUAUUGAAUUGUGCUUCACUUUCAGCGACUCUGACAGCCCCACUCCUGGCUGAGAGAGAGGCUUUCAGCACAAAUACAGAUUUGUAGAAUCUUUGAGGCUGGAAAAGACCUCCAAGAUCAUCAAAUCCAACUGUGAUUGCAGUGAAAUCCUUUAGGGGUGCCAGGUACCCAGAGCACGGUGGGAGAGCCCUGGUGAUGCCUCAGGUUUUGGCUUUUAUAUUUUUCACAUUCUGUGCUGCUUUAGUGUGUGGGUCUGGGCUUCAUAUGAGGGGAUGGUGAGCUCUCUGCACAGAGCAGGGAGACAAAACAAUUCCUUCUCCAGUUGGGGACCAAGGACAAAUGAUCCAAAUCUCAGGCCCAAAAGCACAAACAACGUGGGCUGAAGAGAGAAAAACAAGCAGGAUGGGACUGCAUGGGCUAAAGCUGGAAUUGGACAAUUAACCCCAAUAUGCAAAUGGAGCACUUAGAAAAGUGAGAGCCCCCGGGAGCGCUCGUGCAUUUUGGGACCAUUUUGGUUCAUCUUGGGUGCAGCCCUGGCUGGGCUCUGGUGCUGCCCAAGGUGGAUCCAUUGAGGAGAUCCUUUUAAUAAAUCCCUGCUUUAUUCUUUGGCUGCAUCCAGCCUCUGCUCUAGGGCAGCCUUGAGGCAUCACUGGAGCCGAAUGUGCAGUGGUUGAUGAGCUGGCCAGGCUGUGCUGGCUCCCCAGGCACUCAUGAGCCCUCACAGCCUUGUUUGCCACCAGCCUGGCAGGGAGGUGGAGGGACAAUCCCAACACCCCACUGAGGGCAGCCACCCAUUCCCUCCCUGGCCCAGGGCACGGGUGUGCAGAACAAAAGCAUUUCACACCCUUCCUCGAGUUUUAUUUGUGAAGGUAAAAGCAUUUCACACCCGUUGCUGCAAACCCUGCGUCCUGCUGAUCCCUCUGUGCCCCCCUCAUACUCAGUCCUUUGCCUCCGAGGGAGCCAGGGCUGCCCAGCUGCCACACCCCGCAGGCUUCCAUCCCUCCUGGGUGCAGUCCUGCCCAGCUCUGGCCGGCUGUAAACGCUGUGAAUCUCAUUGUACAGCCGAGCUCGGGCUGCCUGGCUGACGGCAGGGACACUGCUGAAAACAAACAGGGGUUUUUUUUUUCCUCUUUGAUAAAAGAAAACAUUACCUCGCUGAGAUUUACACAGCAGAUCAAGCAUAAACCUGAAUUAUCUCCCUCCACUCUUUCUCCAGGGAGCAGAUAAUGUGUGGAUGUCUCCAUCCCUCUGCUUUGUUCCUCAUCAUCCAGCUUGGCAGCGUUUUGGUUGCUAUUAAACCACGCUCACACCCCUUGACAUUUAAAGGGCUGUUGUUUGAUCGCUGUCACAGUCCUGUAGGUGGAUCCUUCAACCAGUUCCCUCCUCCUGUUCCUACCAAUGAUGGAUUUUCUCGUUUACUCCACAGUAAUUUGCUUUUCUGUGCUCCAGCAGAACACUUUCACUGUCAGACGUGUGUUGUAGAUGCUGGCAAACCCAAUGGGGAGAAUGAUGAUGUCUAACUCCAGUUCAGAAGGCUGAAUUAUUUCUUUAUUAUAAUUAUGCUAUAAUAUAUUAAUAUACUAUAUAAAAGAGGAUACUCAAAACUACA